ACAUACACACACCCUCUCUGCCUGAGUUGCGCUGAGGAGGAAGACUGUUGGAUCAAGUCAAGCUCUGUCAGCGACGGAUGGAUGAAGAUUCAUGGCAGGAAAAGGAGAGAAAACACAGAUCAAUGCAGCAGCGCUCACUUGUUCACCAUGAACUGGCGGUGAACUCCCCCGGCAUGCCGCCAGCCUCUCCUGUCCCGGCGCAUUCGAGGGUCACCACGAGGGUGUUUCUGCGCCAAUAUGCAGACGAGCUACUGCCCCUCUGAUGACUCCAACGUUAAGCUCCACCUAUCCCUACAGGGUGGAGGCUUUGAUACGAAGUCUUCUCCCUCUCACACAGAUGUAAAGCUGCUCUUGUACAAACUUAAACAGGCCUUUAACAACUUAUGUCCUCUCUUACGUUAAUGAAUGAAGUGUGCUCAGGCAAAUGGAUGUUAUCAAAGCCAAAGAUGGGCACUGAUUUAGAUUUAAUGUCCAGAGAAAGAGAAAGAAUGAGACGAAGAUGUCAGCCAUGCUACAAAUCAAAAUAAUGGCUCAGUGAGGUAUUAUCUAACUGUAUUUUGUGUGUGAAUAAAAAAACAUGAAUAGCCCCAAAAGGACUAUUUUUUUAGCCGCUGAAAGAUUUUUCUUUAGUCUGAAAGCCGAUUCUAUUAUAGACAUUUUAAUGAAUGUUUUAUCAAAAUAUGAUUUGAUAAGCAAAGCUUUGUAUUAUUUAACUACAGCUUUCAUCCUAUAAAUCAUCAAUAAACCUUGUAUCAUGUGCA